rnacentral:rRNA from 1 species
GAUGAACGCUGGCGGCGUGCCUAACACAUGCAAGUUGAACGAAGCACUUACAACGGAAUCCCUCGGGAGGAAGAUGUAAGUGACUUAGUGGCGGACGGGUGAGUAACGCGUGGGUAACCUGCCCUGUACAGGGGGACAACAGCCGGAAACAGCUGCUAAUACCCCAUAAGCGCACGGUAUCGCAUGAUACAGUGUGAAAAGCCGAGACGGUACAGGAUGGACCCGCGUCUGAUUAGAUAGUUGGUGGGGUAACGGCCUACCAAGUCAGCGAUCAGUAGCCGGCCUGAGAGGGUGAACGGCCACAUUGGAACUGAGACACGGUCCAAACUCCUACGGGAGGCAGCAGUGGGGAAUAUUGCACAAUGGGGGAAACCCUGAUGCAGCGACGCCGCGUGAAGGAAGAAGUAUUUCGGUAUGUAAACUUCUAUCAGCAGGGAGAAAAUGACGGUACCUGACUAAGAAGUCCCGGCUAACUACGUGCCAGCAGCCGCGGUAA